AGAAGGAAAGAAAAUAAUAUGAAUUUCUAUUUUUGUUUCACUAAAGCAUUUUAUUAUUUUUGUACAUAAAAAUCUGCAUGCUAAUUGUUCGAGGAAAUGCCUCAACCAAGAACGUUCUUGUGUUAAUCAUGCUAGAGGUCCUGCAUUUCAACUCUCUGUAAAUGGGGCAUGAAUUGCUGUAUGGUUGGAUGAACCCAUUGUAUCAUCCAUCUAGUAGACCCUUCUUUGGUGGACCAACACAUAAAUUCACAAUGACUGUGGAAUUUUCCCCUGUUUACCUUUUUUGUUUUCAGCCAUCUGCUGAUCAAAUGGCCAGGAUGAUCAUGUCAGUUUGACUUCUAACUGUGGUCAUCCACAAUAGGACCUACCAGAAGGAUGUUUAAGAUCAUCCAAAUAUACAGCUAUCCAGAGCUCACCAAUGUAUAGACCAAUCAGAGGACCUGAAGGACUCCACUGGCACAAAUGUUCUUAAUUUGUAAUGCAAUAAGGAUGCAGUAGCUACUGGAUGUCUUUUACUAGUCCGACUUACUUUGUUUUCAGUUAUCUUGUUUCCUUGAUAAAAUAAAUAAAUAAAGAAGAAUGUUAGCUUGCUAGUUCAAAUGCAGUUCUAAUUGGAUGUGUAAAAAAGAAGAAGAUGUGUAAUUCAUGCUCAGUUUAUGAGAUUAUUUGCAUUAUUUGGUGCAGCAAUGGUAAUUGUCAUGAAAGAGCAUCUGGAACAUGAUUAGGUAGUCGAGUCGAUCAUUUUCAAUAACCAUCAUCUAGCCAAUUUCUCCAUUUUGUUGCAUUCUCCAUCUGGUAACUCUUCACCUAGCUGAUCAUCAGCUUCGCCGACAUCGACAAGGGCAUUGCUAAUAUCACGGCCACAACCACUGCUAUGAUCACAACAAAGUGUAUGCUCCUCUUUCUACUGGUUUUCAAGCUAUUUAUUUCAAAAUGUAAAUGUGCAGCAUGCAUGCCAAUGUGGCACAUUUGACUGAUAUCUGAGCAAUUCAUCAAGUGAGAGCCACCUCAAACAAGAAAUAGGCUAAAAGUAGGCCAAUCCAGUCAUCUCAUGGUCUAGUAGGUGGUCAAUACUCAACUGCUAUUAUAUCCUUAGUUCUGUGCUUUUGCCUUUGCUCUUGAGUACCAUAAGACACCAAUGCCCUUGAAUUUCAAAGAUGACCACCAUUAAUUUUCUUCUCAGCUCUUGGUUUGAGCCAAUGGGUUGCACAUUUUGUAAAAGUUUGCAUGCAACUCUAACAUUUGUUCUUUAUGCUACAUGAUAUUCUGCUAGUUGAGAUCCACGACUUACUGAUUGCUCAGAAAUUUCUGGGAGCUGAUAGGCAGCUGCAGUUCCAUGGUGGCACGUUGGAUUAUCUUUUUUCCCUGUAUGUGGAUUUUUUGCAGGUUGACUACUUCAGAUGAUGUUUUUCUAAGGUUUGCUAAGCCCCAUGUAUGUGCAGGGCAUACCAUGUACAAGCUACAACAUCUGCCAUCAUGGCAGGCAGGUGGACUAUUAGAAACAGGUGGAUAGCUUAGAAAAAUUCUGCAUUUUUUAAAGCCAUAUAUCUGUUUCAUAAUCUGUGGCUCACUUCAUUAUUGGAUUGACCUGAUUCUUUGACUGUGGACGUCAGCAUAAUGGGACCCUUGUGAUGGAUGAUCUGAUCCCAUACCUUUAUGCAUCCAUUUGUUUUUGGUAUGGUUUUAUUCAUGAACAUGUAUUGCUUGCUGCUAGCUGUUGCAUUGGAGAAAGCUACACUUUCAUAUGAGUGUUUUGUGAAGAGGAAGCUUUAUCCAAACUUGGUUUUCUACUCUGGCUUAAUCUAUCGGUAUAUUCAAGAAAAUUUCUACUCUGGCAUCCAUUCUUACUUAACACCCCUGACCUUAAUUACUUUGCUUAGGAUGUGUUUCAGAUAGAGUAUUAAGUGUUCUGUCAGAGUUUCAUUUCAUUUGAUAUACAGUUUGUUCUAUUUUUUUACAAAAGUGGCUUGUCCAGAAGAAAAUAUUGAUAUUCUAAAUUGGUUUUUGAAUGUUAGACAUUGCGUUGGAGACAAAGUGAAUGUUCUUUUCUAGCCUCUGUUUUUUGGUGAUGCUUCAGAAGAAUUGUUGAAGUUUUCAGCUUCCAACUACUUUAUUUCCAUUGGAAUUUCAAACUUUGAUCAUCAAUGUGGGAAUUCAAUUGAGUCGACUUAGUGAGUUCUAGAUUUAUGCUCAUGACAAUCAUAUUUAUAGUAGCUUUUAGUCAUUUUCGCUUUCAUGUUUGUGAAGAUUCUCAAUUUGAAUCAGUCACUGGAUUUUAAAUACAGUUUGUUUUAUUUUUUGAGUUGAUGAAUUUCUUUUUCACUUAUAGGAAACUGUUGCAUCUCAUUUGGAUAGCAUUUAUCAGAGAAGAAUGAAUCCUUUGCAAUCUAUCAUCUAUUGGGUUAUACACAUCACUACAAAAAAUUGACUUUUGUUGGCUGGCUUUAAUUAUUAUAUUUUGAAUCAUAAACUAAUAUCUAUCAGUUGUGUGGCCCACUGUCUAAUCUUCAGCAAAUGAAUUAGCUGUGAUCAUCUGCAGUACAUGAGCCCACUGGAUGAACAUGUACUCAAUGUACAGCCGGAGACUACAACUUUGGGCAUGGAGGCAUUCUACAUGGCAGAUUUCUUUGUAGCAGAUGUUGGUUACUGAAUUUUGUUCUUCUUAUAACUAUCAUCUCUUUACAAAAUAUAGAUUCUAUCUUACUGGUUGCUUGAAAUGCUUUUCAGUCGUUGGUUCCACUUGAGUAUCAUGCUAUCAAUAGCUCUAUUUCAAGCCGAUAUCGACUAAACAUGGUUGCAGAAGAAAGUCAUCAUUUGCAAUUUGCCAUGAGCUUGUAUGGUUUAUUUUUGUGAUUUAUAUGCCUUUUAGAUGCAUAAUCUGUAACUUACUACAAGCUUUCAAGAAUUGAUUAUAUUAUUUGGCUUCUCUCAAAUCAUCCCAUUGAUGCCUCAUAUUUGUUUUUGGCACUGAAGUUACAUUGUACUCAUUUUUCUCAUCGAUCCAUCAGCAAGGUCAGAAAAUAACUGCAAGUUCUAA